rnacentral:rRNA from 1 species
UGAACUAGCUAACUGAAAUCAGUGGUGUGUCACCAUUAGAUAACGUAAGGGAUAAUAAUGAUGGAACCUUGCUAUUAGUGUCGUCCAAGUACUCGUGCCAGAAGACUCGGUAAGGCGAGAGACGCAAACGUUAGUCAUCUUAAUCAGGCGUAAAGGGUUAGUAGGCAGCUUUAAGAAUUCAUCCAAUUUAAAUUUACUCCAUUAAAAAGGAAAUCAAUUAAAGCUAGAAUCAAGAAGAGGUUAUAUUAAAUAAUACUUAGAGUAAGGGCGAUAUCUUCAAAUACUAAGUAGAAUACUAACGGCGAAGGCUUUUUUCCAAUAAUGAUUGACGCUGAGAAACUAAGGUGAGGAAAGAAAAAAGGAUUAGAGACCCUUGUAUCCCUCACUGUCAACGAUGAAUGGUAGUUAUUAAAUAAUUAUUUUUAGUGGCGAUGUUAACACGUUAACCAUUCCGCCUUGUGAGUACGACUGCAAAGUUGAAAACAAAAAAAUUAGUCGGUCUCGGAGCAAACGAAGUG